AGUGAACGCUGGCGGUAGGCCUAACACAUGCAAGUCGAACGGCAGCACAGUAAGAGCUUGCUCUUACGGGUGGCGAGUGGCGGACGGGUGAUGAAUACAUCGGAAUCUACUUUUUCGUGGGGGAUAACGUAGGGAAACUUACGCUAAUACCGCAUACGACCUACGGGUGAAAGCAUGGGAUCUUCGGACCUUGCGCGAUUGAAUGAGCCGAUGUCGGAUUAGCUAGUUGGCGGGGUAAAGGCCAACCAAGGCGACGAUCCGUAGCUGGUCUGAGAGGAUGAUCAGCCACACUGGAACUGAGACACGGUCCAGACUCCUACGGGAGGCAGCAGUGGGGAAUAUUGGACAAUGGGCGCAAGCCUGAUCCAGCCAUACCGCGUGGGUGAAGAAGGCCUUCGGGUUGUAAAGCCCUUUUGUUGGGAAAGAAAAGCAGCAGGUUAAUACCCCGCUGUUCUGACGGUACCCAAAGAAUAAGCACCGGCUAACUUCGUG
rnacentral:rRNA from 1 species